rnacentral:lncRNA from 1 species
AGUUUCAUUGGAACAUGGCACCAACCAUUCUGUUGUUUAUGGUUUUGUAACUCUUGCUUCAACAUAUGGGCAAACAUCCAUGUUCAUAACAGUGUCUUCAGGACCCUCAAGCCUUAACACAUUAGUGUUUGGGAAGGAAUGAGUCAUUCUUCACUUUGUCACAACAAAUACAAAAGAGGAAAAGAGUUUUUCCACAAGAAAGCAACUGAAGCAUCCUGUCAAUGCCAUGUUGGUUUGCACCCCACUGCUUUCCAGAGGGUGAUGUGAGUAUCCUACCUGCUGUGCACUGUAGGUUUUGCAGAGUCCCUGAACUACAC